rnacentral:rRNA from 1 species
GAUGAACGCUGGCGGCGUGCCUAAUACAUGCAAGUCGAGCGAACGGACGAGAAGCUUGCUUCUCUGAUGUUAGCGGCGGACGGGUGAGUAACACGUGGAUAACCUACCUAUAAGACUGGGAUAACUUCGGGAAACCGGAGCUAAUACCGGAUAAUAUUUUGAACCGAAUGGUUCAAAAGUGAAAGACGUCCUUGCUGUCACUUAUAGAUGGAUCCGCGCUGCAUUAGCUAGUUGGUAAGGUAACGGCUUACCAAGGCAACGAUGCAUAGCCGACCUGAGAGGGUGAUCGGCCACACUGGAACUGAGACACGGUCCAGACUCCUACGGGAGGCAGCAGUAGGGAAUCUUCCGCAAUGGGCGAAAGCCUGACGGAGCAACGCCGCGUGAGUGAUGAAGGUCUUCGGAUCGUAAAACUCUGUUAUUAGGGAAGAACAUAUGUGUAAGUAACUGUGCACAUCUUGACGGUACCUAAUCAGAAAGCCACGGCUAACUACGUG